rnacentral:rRNA from 1 species
AUGGUUUGUAGCAAAACGAGGCAUCGUUCGCCGUCCCGGCCGGGUCGUAUCUCUGUCAUGAAUGGAUGUAGCAAAAAAACAGCCGGUUCCAGCAAUAAUUUACUCUGGUUCCAGCAAAAAUUCCACAAACAUCAAACUCCAACAAAUUUGAUUGUAGCAAAAGAGAUAGCCGAUUCCAGCAAUAGUUUACUCUGGUUCCAGCAAAAAUCCCACGAACAUCAAACUCCAUCAAAUUUGAUUGUAGCAAAAGAAACAGCCAGUUCCAGCAACAAAUUACUCUGGUUCCAGCAAAAAUCCCACAAAACAUCAAAAUCCAACAAAAUUGGUUGUAGCAAGAGAAACAGCCGGUUCCAGCAACAAUUUACUCUGUUCCAACAAAAAUCCCACAAACAUCAAAUCCAACAAAAGUUGAUUGUAGCAAAAAUAAUAGGAGGUUCCAGCAACAAAAAACUGUCGCCGGUCGCAGCUACCCGCGAUGACAGUUGCAGCUUAACGACGAGAUCACAGAAAAAACGUUGCAUCCGCAGGUCGCCGAUGCUGGAACCACGCAGUAGAAAGCUACAACCGUAUGUCGCGGUGCUGGAACCGGCGGGAGAAAAAGCUACAACUGCAAGUCACCGAUGUUGGAGCCGGGGAGAAGAAAAGCUGCAACGGCAUGUCGCCGGUGCUGGAACCAGGCAGUAG